GUACCCCAUGCUUUAUUCUUGAAUACUUAUGAUUUACCCUUGACCUGCUUUCAGUUUUGAAUUGUACAUGUGUUUUCCCAUAUUUGUCCAUGAUUAAUAGGAUUCAUGAGAUGCUGUGCGUAUGGAUGAAACUUAGGCAUAUGGUAACGAGGAUAGGUCAACCUCAGGACACCCAGGGAAGUUAGGGAGCAUGCCCCGCUGAGUGGAAAUUCCUAGUUCUCCUUUGUGGUUAGUUAGGGUCACCUCUCCACUUAGAAUCUUUUUCCAGUUGGUUGAGGCCAUUUCACACCCUUGCCCCACAGCCAUCUCCCAUUAUCAGAAAUAACAGCUUGUGCUGCCUCAACCUUCCCUGACCAUCCCCUACUGCUCAUAUCUGACCACCUCUGCUCUGAGAGCUGCCUCUGGAGCACAGUUUCUCCUUCUGUUCCUAGUCCCCACCCCAGCCACACCCAGCCUUGUAAAUCCUGCAGCCGCCACUUGGAACUGGGCGGUAAGGAGCAGGGCACCAACAGCCAGUGCUCAAGGAGCUGCACCUAAAUUUAUCUUUGCAGACUCUGCUUCCUGCUUGCCUCAGUUCUUCUCUCUUAUCUAUUCUAAUUCCAAGACCUUUUUGCUUAAUGCAUAGGAAUAUCAAAAUAUCAGUAGUAAUAAUAGAAGUAGCAUUCAGAGCCAGGAAUAUUUGUGCAUAUCUCUUCAGUCCUCACAGCAAUUUUACAAAGGAGCUUCAUCGAUCUCCUCAUGAGGAGCAGAAGCAGCUGCUGAAUUCUGUGGAAAGGACACGAGGAGCAUGGAAGUCAGGGUACCAGAAGCCUGGCAUAAACACUGAGAGAAGAAGCAGAAAAAGUCCCGUCCUUACCAACCUCACUGCCUCUGUGUAGAGCAAUGACUAAUCUUCCAUCUAGGCUGAAAGACAAAGGAUUAUGUGUACUCACUAAAGAGAAGACAUUCAUAAAAGAUGAUUUCCAUAGCUACUUCUCCCACACACCUGAGGCAAGAAAAAACAAUGUUUGUCUUAUAUUCCAUAGAAAUAUGGUCUCUUAUUUAGCCUAGUGAUUGUUGGAUUCAGAAGCACACUGGCUCAGCCUGGUGCCCCAGAGGAAAGCAGAAGAGAGCCCUAGGAAGCAGAAACACCAGUCCUUAAGGUCAAGAGAACAGGGGUGCCCUUGCCUCAUCAAAAAGGAGGAUGAAAAGGAGCCUACACUCCUGCCAUUGAUAUGGCAGACUGGGCUAAAUGGAUACCAUGGGAAGCAUGGGUCAUCUUAAGACUUCUUCAUCCAAGAGGGCCAUCUACACCGAUAAGGAGAUUAUAGUUAAACAGCCAGUACAAAGCAAGGUGAAGUGCAAGAGUCCUUCCAUUUGCAUCCAAUAGGAAGGAUAUCAACUGAAUACCUUCCACACAAUGGGCAUGAGCAGCUAAGGAAUGGAAAAAGAAUUCCAGACAAGAAAAAAGAAAAGACUUCAGCCCUAUUCCCUAAUCUCAUCCCUGUGCACAGAAUCUAUCCUAAGUGUCACAUAAGGAAAGGGAUUUUAUGGAGCACGUUAGAGGCAAUGGCUGAAGAAAAAAAUAAAACUAUUUUAUAUUUGUUUCAUUAAACUAAGCUCAUUUAAUAAUUUGGCUACAAACCAAUUUAUUAGUUUAUGUGAAAUGUCCUUAUUUAAUAAAAUAUGGAUUAAAAUGAACCAGCCUUAUGAAAUGAAUGGAUUCUUCUAGAGACCCUUAUGUCUUGUUCCUAGUUCAUGUCACACUUCUUUUAGGAACAACACUUUCCAAUACCUGGGAUCUCUCCAGCUUUGUGGGCAUCAAAUUGUAUAACUUCACAGAUCCCUGUGUUCCCUAAGUGAGGGAAUAAGCAGACUCCCCCUUAUCUCGAGAGGCAUUCCUUGUGACUUUUGUUUUGUUUUUGGUAUCUCAAGACCAUCACAUACCUUCUGAUCUGGCCAACAGUGUGUACAUUUAGGAGCAUCUAUAACAUACUCAUUAACUAUCACAUAUAAUUUUAAAUAGUUACAAUAAAUGAAUGGUUGCUUGGCAACCAAAAAGCUGAGGUUUUGAAAGGAAGUACUCUGUUACUGUUCAAGAGAGAGCAGCAGGAUUUGUUGACAUAUUUUGAUUCUGUUGAAUUCUUUAUGAUGGAACCAAACCCUGGAGCAGACAAAGGGAAAAACCAGG
ensembl:lncRNA